CACUCUCCCUUCCUUGGUACUGAGAUGGUUUGACGGCGAGCGGAUCAUUUUUGCGUUUUAGGCAUGACGGAGGGACAACAGUCAGCAUCUCCACGAAAGAUGCAGACUGGUGAUCUGAUUUGUCUCACAGAUGGAGGGAGGAGACCAGUCUACUAUCUGGUGGUAGAUGGAAUGAUGACAUCGUAAAGGACAACUGGAUUCCUUUGGGACCCAGUAUAUGGACUUUGAACUGCAUAGUUGCAGGAAUUGGAGCCAGAUGACAAAUCUUUGACUGGCAGAGUGUGGAAGUCGGCUGAUUCUAGUUUGCACAGUCUGUGAAUGUGACUGCUGCUUCUGACUGGAUGGCGUAUUACCCACGGUGAAAGCGAUGGUAGUGUACUUUCCUGAAAGACUAGACCUGUGGUGGUGGAUAUGAUGAAACACCAGACAUUACAGAAGAAAAGGGAAAGAGGAGUGCAACAGAUGUUUUUCUAAUUUUAAAACAAGUCUAUCAAUCAUUUGGCACUUUUU